rnacentral:rRNA from 1 species
UUUAUGGGGUGACUGCGUACCUUUUGUAUAAUGGGUCAGCGACUUAUAUUCUGUAGCAAGGUUAACCGUAUAGGGGAGCCGAAGGGAAACCGAGUCUUAACUGGGCGUUAAGUUGCAGGGUAUAGACCCGAAACCCGGUGAUCUAGCCAUGGGCAGGUUGAAGGUUGGGUAACACUAACUGGAGGACCGAACCGACUAAUGUUGAAAAAUUAGCGGAUGACCUGUGGCUGGGGGUGAAAGGCCAAUCAAACCGGGAGAUAGCUGGUUCUCCCCGAAAGCUAUUUAGGUAGCGCCUCGUGAACUCAUCUUCGGGGGUAGAGCACUGUUUCGGCUAGGGGGCCAUCCCGGCUUACCAACCCGAUGCAAACUACGAAUACCGAAGAAUGUUAUCACGGGAGACACACGGCGGGUGCUAACGUCCGUCGUGAAGAGGGAAACAACCCAGACCGCCAGCUAAGGUCCCAAAGUCAUGGUUAAGUGGGAAACGAUGUGGGAAGGCACAGACAGCCAGGAUGUUGGCUUAGAAGCAGCCAUCAUUUAAAGAAAGCGUAAUAGCUCACUGGUCGAGUCGGCCUGCGCGGAAGAUGUAACGGGGCUAAACCAUGCACCGAAGCUGCGGCAGCGACACUUAUGUGUUGUUGGGUAGGGGAGCGUUCUGUAAGCCGUUGAAGGUGUGCUGUGAGGCAUGCUGGAGGUAUCAGAAGUGCGAAUGCUGACAUAAGUAACGAUAAAGCGGGUGAAAAGCCCGCUCGCCGGAAGACCAAGGGUUCCUGUCCAACGUUAAUCGGGGCAGGGUGAGUCGACCCCUAAGGCGAGGCCGAAAGGCGUAGUCGAUGGGAAACAGGUUAAUAUUCCUGUACUUGGUGUUACUGCGAAGGGGGGACGGAGAAGGCUAUGUCAGCCGGGCGACGGUUGUCCCGGUUUAAGCAUGUAGGCGGAGGUUCCAGGUAAAUCCGGUACCUUGUUAACGCUGAGGUGUGAUGACGAGGCACUACGGUGCUGAAGUGAUAAAUGCCCUGCUUCCAGGAAAAGCCUCUAAGCAUCAGGUAACACGAAAUCGUACCCCAAACCGACACAGGUGGUCAGGUAGAGAAUACCAAGGCGCUUGAGAGAACUCGGGUGAAGGAACUAGGCAAAAUGGUGCCGUAACUUCGGGAGAAGGCACGCUGAUGUGUAGGUGAAGCCCCUGCGGGUGGAGCUGAAAUCAGUCGAAGAUACCAGCUGGCUGCAACUGUUUAUUAAAAACACAGCACUGUGCAAACACGAAAGUGGACGUAUACGGUGUGACGCCUGCCCGGUGCCGGAAGGUUAAUUGAUGGGGUUAGCGGCAACGCGAAGCUCUUGAUCGAAGCCCCGGUAAACGGCGGCCGUAACUAUAACGGUCCUAAGGUAGCGAAAUUCCUUGUCGGGUAAGUUCCGACCUGCACGAAUGGCGUAAUGAUGGCCAGGCUGUCUCCACCCGAGACUCAGUGAAAUUGAACUCGCUGUGAAGAUGCAGUGUACCCGCGGCAAGACGGAAAGACCCCGUGAACCUUUACUAUAGCUUGACACUGAACACUGGUCCUUGAUGUGUAGGAUAGGUGGGAGGCUUUGAAGCGUGGACGCCAGUCUGCGUGGAGCCAACCUUGAAAUACCACCCUUUAAUGGCUGGUGUUCUAACGUAGACCCGUAAUCCGGGUUGCGGACAGUGUCUGGUGGGUAGUUUGACUGGGGCGGUCUCCUCCCAAAGAGUAACGGAGGAGCACGAAGGUUGGCUAAUCCUGGUCGGACAUCAGGAGGUUAGUGCAAUGGCAUAAGCCAGCUUGACUGCGAGCGUGACGGCGCGAGCAGGUGCGAAAGCAGGUCAUAGUGAUCCGGUGGUUCUGAAUGGAAGGGCCAUCGCUCAACGGAUAAAAGGUACUCCGGGGAUAACAGGCUGAUACCGCCCAAGAGUUCAUAUCGACGGCGGUGUUUGGCACCUCGAUGUCGGCUCAUCACAUCCUGGGGCUGAAGUAGGUCCCAAGGGUAUGGCUGUUCGCCAUUUAAAGUGGUACGCGAGCUGGGUUUAGAACGUCGUGAGACAGUUCGGUCCCUAUCUGCCGUGGGCGCUGGAGAAUUGAGGGGGGCUGCUCCUAGUACGAGAGGACCGGAGUGGACGCAUCACUGGUGUUCGGGUUGUCAUGCCAAUGGCACUGCCCGGUAGCUAAAUGCGGAAGAGAUAAGUGCUGAAAGCAUCUAAGCACGAAACUUGCCCCGAGAUGAGUUCUCCCUGAGACUUUAAGUCUCCUGAAGGAACGUUGAAGACGACGACGUUGAUAGGUCGGGUGUGUAAGCGCAGCGAUGCGUUGAGCUAACCGAUACUAAUGAACCGUGAGGCUUAACCUU